UAUACAGCGAAACUGCGAAUGGCUCAUUAUAUAAGUUAUCGUUUAUUUGAUAGUACCUUACUACUUGGAUAACCGUGGUAAUUCUAGAGCUAAUACAUGCUAAAAAUCCCGACUUCGGAAGGGAUGUAUUUAUUAGAUUAAAAACCAAUGCCCUCUGGGCUCCUUGGUGAUUCAUGAUAACUUCUCGAAUCGCAUGGCCUUGCGCCGGCGAUGGUUCAUUCAAAUUUCUUCCCUAUCAACUUUCGAUGUUUGGGUAGUGGCCAAACAUGGUUGCAACGGGUAACGGAGGGUUAGGGCUCGACCCCGGAGAAGGAGCCUGAGAAACGGCUACUACAUCCAAGGAAGGCAGCAGGCGCGCAAAUUACCCAAUCCCGACUCGGGGAGGUAGUGACAAUAAAUACUGAUACAGGGCUCUUUUGGGUCUUGUAAUUGGAAUGAGUACAAUUUAAAUCCCUUAACGAGGAACAAUUGGAGGGCAAGUCUGGUGCCAGCAGCCGCGGUAAUUCCAGCUCCAAUAGCGUAUAUUAAAGUUGUUGUGGUUAAAAAGCUCGUAGUUGAACCUUGGGCCUGGCUGGCCGGUCCGCCUCACCGCGUGUACUGGUCCGGCCGGGCCUUUCCCUCUGUGGAACCCCAUGCCCUUCACUGGGUGUGGCGGGGAAACAGGACUUUUACUUUGAAAAAAUUAGAGUGCUCCAGGCAGGCCUAUGCUCGAAUACAUUAGCAUGGAAUAAUAGAAUAGGACGUGCGGUUCUAUUUUGUUGGUUUCUAGGACCGCCGUAAUGAUUAAUAGGGACAGUCGGGGGCAUCAGUAUUCAAUUGUCAGAGGUGAAAUUCUUGGAUUUAUUGAAGACUAACUACUGCGAAAGCAUUUGCCAAGGAUGUUUUCAUUAAUCAGGAACGAAAGUUAGGGGAUCGAAGACGAUCAGAUACCGUCGUAGUCUUAACCAUAAACUAUGCCGACUAGGGAUCGGACGAUGUUAUUUUUUGACUCGUUCGGCACCUUACGAGAAAUCAAAGUGCUUGGGCUCC
rnacentral:rRNA from 1 species